UACGUAGGGUGCAAGCGUUGUCCGGAAUUAUUGGGCGUAAAGAGCUCGUAGGCGGUCUGUCGCGUCGGCUGUGAAAACUCGGGGCUCAACUCCGAGCUUGCAGUCGAUACGGGCAGGCUAGAGUUCGGCAGGGGAGACUGGAAUUCCUGGUGUAGCGGUGAAAUGCGCAGAUAUCAGGAGGAACACCGGUGGCGAAGGCGGGUCUCUGGGGAAACAAGCUGACGCUGAGGAACGAAAGCGUGGGUAGCAAACAGG
rnacentral:rRNA from 1 species